rnacentral:rRNA from 1 species
GACGAACGCUGGCGGCGUGCCUAAUACAUGCAAGUUGAGCGCUGAAGGUUGGUACUUGUACCAACUGGAUGAGCAGCGAACGGGUGAGUAACGCGUGGGGAAUCUGCCUUUGAGCGGGGGACAACAUUUGGAAACGAAUGCUAAUACCGCAUAAAAACUUUAAACACAAGUUCUAAGUUUGAAAGAUGCAAUUGCAUCACUCAAAGAUGAUCCCGCGUUGUAUUAGCUAGUUGGUGAGGUAAAGGCUCACCAAGGCGAUGAUACAUAGCCGACCUGAGAGGGUGAUCGGCCACAUUGGGACUGAGACACGGCCCAAACUCCUACGGGAGGCAGCAGUAGGGAAUCUUCGGCAAUGGACGAAAGUCUGACCGAGCAACGCCGCGUGAGGGAAGAAGGUUUUCGGAUCGUAAAACUCGGUUGGUAGAGAAGAACGUUGGUGAGAGUGGAAAGCUCAUCAAGUGACGGUAACUACCCAGAAAGGGACGGCUAACUACGUG